GUUCAAAUGAAGCCGCGGUCCUUGGGAAACCCGAAGCCAUGGAGCCAGAGCUGGAGGAAGACCAUCAACAAGCUGAAAAUGCUAAAAAGCCGAGGACAAUGCGCUUCAUGGAUUUCCGCGAUGUCCCUAAACAGGGGCUCCGCAGGAAAAGCCCACGUCCAAGACGCAGGAAUCAACAGUCCCAUUAAAGUUCAUCCCCAACUCUGCCAACUGGUGUGCCUGCAAGCCAGGACUAAUAAGUUGCUUGAUCAGAUAAGAAAAAAACCAUAGAGCUCUGUCCAAAUUAUGCUUAUGGUGGUGUGGACAGGGUCUCCAAAUUGCAAGUCAUCAGGCAUAAUAUGUAGAUCAAUCCUAGUAUCAUGUAGUAUAAGUUGUUGAACAACCUGUGGGCCUCUAAACAAUCUUCUGUAAUGAAAAAUAAAAUAAAAUAAAGCACUCAUUUAUAUUUUCUGUU